rnacentral:rRNA from 1 species
CGAACGGGUGAGUAAUGCCUAGGGAUCUGCCUGAUAGUGGGGGAUAACGUUCGGAAACGAACGCUAAUACCGCAUACGUCCUACGGGAGAAAGGGGGCUUUAUUGCUCUCGCUAACAGAUGAGCCUAGGUCAGAUUAGCUAGUUGGUAGGGUAAAGGCCUACCAAGGCGACGAUCUGUAGCGGGUCUGAGAGGAUGACCAGCCAGACUGGGACUGAGACACGGCCCAG